UCGCGGCUUAUCACCGGCAGUCUCCUUAGAGUGCUCAACUAAAUGGUAGCAACUAAGGACGGGGGUUGCGCUCGUUGCGGGACUUAACCCAACAUCUCACGACACGAGCUGACGACAGCCAUGCAGCACCUGUGUUCCCGUUCCCUUUCGGGCACACCCGCCUUUCAGCAGGCUCCAGGACAUGUCAAGGGUAGGUAAGGUUUUUCGCGUUGCAUCGAAUUAAUCCACAUAAUCCACCGCUUGUGCGGGUCCCCGUCAAUUCCUUUGAGUUUUAACCUUGCGGCCGUAGUCCCCAGGCGGUGAACUUAUUGCGUUAGCUGCGACGCUGAAAGGGUCAAAUCUUCCAACAUCUAGUUAUCAUCGUUUACGGCGUGGACUAC
rnacentral:misc_RNA from 1 species